rnacentral:lncRNA from 1 species
UUUCUUUUUGUUCUUUCCCCCGUAUGCAUAAUAUGGCCUUGCAUUUCAUCCAAAACUAUAGUGAGAAUAAAUAUAUGGUGGGCGAGCCUUCCUUUUUUAUCUGAGCAUAUUUGUUCUCACAUUUCACUUCUUUUUUUUUUUUUUUUGGGGGGGGGGCUGAUAAGCAUCUAAUGCUUUCAUUUAGCCCUAGCUUCUGAAGCUAGUUCUUCUUUUGUGUGGCUAGAGUAUGUUUGGCUAAGCUUAAAUAGUUAACUUUACAUAUAAAGUAAAUAGGUAAGUUAUAAAAUAAUAAAUGAGUUACUUAGCCUAUGUUUGGGCCCCAUUUUGUUGAAAAUGAGUUUUGUAAUAGUGAAUAUUUGGAGAUUGGUUAAAAAGUAGGAAAACAAUUUUGAUGUGCAAAAGAUUUUAUUGUGAGAAUGUAUGGUUGAAAUUUGAAAAUGAGUUUGGUAAAAAUUAGUUUUUAGAUAAUGGGGAACAAACAUGAGCGUAGUUUGACAGUAAUGUAAGUUAAGAAAGAAGUAAAAUAUCUAAACAUGUUUAGAAUCACAAAGUAUGCUAACUACAAAUUUACUCGGAACGAGGCUUUAGUUUGUUGUGUCGUUUGGAAACAAAAAGUUACUAAACAUGCUGGUUUUUGCCUUGUAUAGGCUAAACGGAGGAGCUCAACUUGGUGGAUAAGGUUUUUCAUUCGAACCGGCUUCCAUGAAAAUGAAUCUGCUGCCAAGAAAUUCGAGCAGGCAGCAGCCAAGAAUUCCUAUGAGUCGACCUGCCAAGUUUUUCACCUCAAACCUUCGCACUGAGAGAGGGCAUCCUUCGUGAAGAUGGUGCUGAGAAGGAUCUUUAGUUUUUAUUGAAUAUUUGGAGAUUGGUUAAAAAGUAGGAAAACAAUUUUGAUGUGCAAAAGAUUUUAUUGUGAGAAUGUGUGGUUGAAAUUUGAAAAUGAGUUUGGUAAAAAUUAGUUUUUAGAUAAUGGGGAACAAACAUGAGCGUAGUUUGACAGUAAUGUAAGUUAAGAAAGAAGUAAAAUAUCUAAACAUGUUUAGAAUCACAAAGUAUGCUAACUACAAAUUUACUCGGAACGAGGCUUUAGUUUGUUGUGUCGUUUGGAAACAAAAAGUUACUAAACAUGCUGGUUUUUGCCUUGUAUAGGCUAAACGGAGGAGCUCAACUUGGUGGAUAAGGUUUUUCAUUCGAACCGGCUUCCAUGAAAAUGAAUCUGCUGCCAAGAAAUUCGAGCAGGCAGCAGCCAAGAAUUCCUAUGAGUCGACCUGCCAAGUUUUUCACCUCAAACCUUCGCACUGAGAGAGGGCAUCCUUCGUGAAGAUGGUGCUGAGAAGGAUCUUUAGUUUUUAUAAUGAUAAAUUAUAUUCAUAAAAUUGGGUUACCACCUUAUUUGAUAUUUCAUUAUGACAGAAGAAUUGGUUGAUUAAAAGCUUUGUUGGUUGUAAGCAAGCAUCCACAGAAUUAUACCAUUAUGCCAAAUUAGGCAUUGGAAGUGAAAUGGACCAUUCUCUAGGGAAUGUUCAUAUUAACUGUAUUUUUUUCCUCAUAAUUGUAAAAGAAAACUAAUUUAUUAUUAUAUAUAUCUUGGAAUCCUCAUAUUUCUAUUUGUGGUCCAAGCCUCACU